rnacentral:rRNA from 1 species
CGAGCGCGGGAAGUCAGGCAGAUCCUCUUCGGAGGUGACGCCUGUGGAACGAGCGGCGGACGGGUGAGUAACACGUGGGCAACCUGCCUGUAAGAUUGGGAUAACCCCGGGAAACCGGGGCUAAUACCGGAUAAUACUUUUCGUUGCAUAACGAGAAGUUGAAAGGCGGCUUUUAGCUGUCACUUACAGAUGGGCCCGCGGCGCAUUAGCUAGUUGGUAAGGUAACGGCUUACCAAGGCGACGAUGCGUAGCCGACCUGAGAGGGUGAUCGGCCACACUGGGACUGAGACACGGCCCAGACUCCUACGGGAGGCAGCAGUAGGGAAUCUUCCGCAAUGGACGAAAGUCUGACGGAGCAACGCCGCGUGAGUGAUGAAGGUUUUCGGAUCGUACUACUCUGUUGUCAGGAAAGAACAAGUGCCGUUCAAAUAGGGCGGCACCGUGACGCUACCUGACCAGAAAGCCCCGGCUAUCUACGUGCCAGCAGCCGCGGUAAUACGUAGGAAGCAAGCUUUGUCCGCAUUUAUUGGGAGCACAGCGCCGCGCAGGCUGUGCGUUAAGCUCUGAUGUUAUUUCGAACGGUCUUAACUUGUGGAGGGUACUUUCGCAAGCUGAGUGACUUUGAGUACUGAACUACGAGCAGCUGAAAGUGCGGCAGUGCACCCGAUGAAAUGCGUAGAGAUUGUUGGAGGAAACACCCAGUGGCCGAAAGGCGACUCUCCUGGUCUGUAACCUGACCGCUGAGGUGCGAAAAGCGUGGGGGAGCGAACCAGGAUUAGAUACCCUGGUAGUCCACGCCGUAAACGAUGAGUGCUAGGUGUUAGGGGGUUUCCGCCCCUUUAGUGCUGAAGUUAACGCAUUAAGCACUCCGCCUGGGGAGUACGGCCGCAAGGCUGAAACUCAAAAGAAUUGACGGGGGCCCGCACAAGCGGUGGAGCAUGUGGUUUAAUUCGAAGCAACGCGAAGAACCUUACCAGGUCUUGACAUCCUCUGCCAAUCCUAGAGAUAGGAUGUUCCCUUCGGGGACAGAGUGACAGGUGGUGCAUGGUUGUCGUCAGCUCGUGUCGUGAGAUGUUGGGUUAAGUCCCGCAACGAGCGCAACCCUUGAUCUUAGUUGCCAGCAUUUAGUUGGGCACUCUAAGGUGACUGCCGGUGACAAACCGGAGGAAGGUGGGGAUGACGUCAAAUCAUCAUGCCCCUUAUGACCUGGGCUACACACGUGCUACAAUGGAUGGAACAAAGGGCAGCGAAGCCGCGAGGUCAAGCAAAUCCCAUAAAACCAUUCUCAGUUCGGAUUGCAGGCUGCAACUCGCCUGCAUGAAGCCGGAAUCGCUAGUAAUCGCGGAUCAGCAUGCCGCGGUGAAUACGUUCCCGGGCCUUGUACACACCGCCCGUCACACCACGAGAGUUGGUAACACCCGAAGUCGGUGAGGUAACCUUUUGGAGCCAGCCGCCGAAGGUGGGACCAAUGAUUG